rnacentral:rRNA from 1 species
AUUGAACGCUGGCGGCAUGCCUUACACAUGCAAGUCGAACGGUAACAGGUUAAGCUGACGAGUGGCGAACGGGUGAGUAAUGUAUCGGAACGUGCCCAGUCGUGGGGGAUAACUGCUCGAAAGAGCAGCUAAUACCGCAUACGACCUGAGGGUGAAAGCGGGGGAUCGCAAGACCUCGCGCGAUUGGAGCGGCCGAUAUCAGAUUAGGUAGUUGGUGAGGUAAAGGCUCACCAAGCCGACGAUCUGUAGCUGGUCUGAGAGGACGACCAGCCACACUGGGACUGAGACACGGCCCAGACUCCUACGGGAGGCAGCAGUGGGGAAUUUUGGACAAUGGGCGCAAGCCUGAUCCAGCCAUGCCGCGUGCGGGGAGAAGGCCUUCGGGUUGUAAACCGCUUUUGUCAGGGAAGAAAAGGUUCUGGCUAAUACCUGGGACUCGUGACGGUACCUGAAGAAUAAGCACCGGCUAACUACGUG